CUGAAAUCAAGCACUUCCUUCCAAGCAUGAAUGUGAGCAAGAAGCUGUGGUGGCAACAGCGGUCCCUGUGAGUGUCACCAAGUGGAAGCCACAGCUAGACUUCCGGGGACAGCAUACCCGAGUCGUGGUGGCUAUCUCUAAAGAUCACUUCCCUGCCUCCCUGGGAUGAAAUGAUAGCCGUUAUGAGAUCUGCCACUGAGUGGGUCAGAGGAAGUGCGUACACUCCUCCAUCCCAAAGGCGCCUUGCACUCCGCACCUGCUUUCGGUUUCCUCUGACGACCCAUCCUCUGCAUUCAAACGCCAUCAGUGUAAGCAGAUGUCCACAGGAGUACACGAUCUGAAAUCAGCCUUCCACAUUGCGGUUCGGAUACCUGAGCUUUCUCCAUCUUGUGGAAAAUGGCAGCUUCUACUCCAAGAUGUCUGAACAGUAGAUCUGUGUAGUCACUCAGGAGGAAGCACUGUUAGCACACUCUUGCAAGUGCCCGGGGCCAGCAUUGCAGGCAUGGAAUCUGAAUAGCCACAUGGGACUCUGAAACCACAGUACCAGAGCUGAUGCAGAGCCUGAACUAAGUAGCAGUCGCCUCCAGCAAGAACCGUGCCCAGACCCUUGUCACCUGAGCCUCCUGGGAGUAGUUGAUGUGUUCCAAGAAGGGAGACAAGCAGUCAGUCAGCAUCCCUGACACCCAAAGUGAAGAGGUUCAGAAAUGUUCAUGGUGGUGAUCGAAGCAGGGUAAUGGAUAGAUGGGAGUUUGUGACACUCUCGUUUUCCCUC